ensembl:ncRNA F33D4.12 ncRNA
CUUCUUCUGGGAAUUCUGAUUUUGUCGGCCCUAGAACCCAAACGCUUGGAAUAUUUUGCUGUGUUGUGUCUGUUGACUCUGAAAAAGUAGGUUCAUGAUGUUUGGUAAUUCAUUCAGUUUUACCAUUAGUAACUCCGUUUGGACCAUCAGAAUACAUAGCCAUUGGAUUAUUUGUUCUGAAAUUUAAAAUUAUAGGUGGUAAAAUACUGG